GUGGGGAAUAUUGGACAAUGGGCGAAAGCCUGAUCCAGCCAUGCCGCGUGUGUGAAGAAGGUCUUCGGAUUGUAAAGCACUUUAAGUUGGGAGGAAGGGCAGUAAGUUAAUACCUUGCUGUUUUGACGUUACCGACAGAAUAAGCACCGGCUAACUUCGUGCCAGCAGCCGCGGUAAUACGAAGGGUGCAAGCGUUAAUCGGAAUUACUGGGCGUAAAGCGCGCGUAGGUGGUUUUGUAAGUUGGAGGUGAAAUCCACGGGCUCAACCUGGGAACUGGCUCCAAAACUACUGAGCUAGAGUACGGUAGAGGGUAGUGGAAUUUCCUGUGUAGCGGUGAAAUGCGUAGAUAUAGGAAGGAACACCAGUGGCGAAGGCGACUACCUGGACUGAUACUGACACUGAGGUGCGAAAGCGUGGGGAGCAAACAGGAUUAGAUACCCUAGUAGUCC
rnacentral:rRNA from 1 species